GUGAACGCUGGCGGUAGGCCUAACCCAUGCAAGUCGAACGGCAGCACAGUAAGAGCUUGCUCUUACGGGUGGCGAGUGGCGGACGGGUGAGGAAUACAUCGGAAUCUACUUUUUCGUGGGGGAUAACGUAGGGAAACUUACGCUAAUACCGCAUACGACCUACGGGUGAAAGCAGGGGAUCUUCGGACCUUGCGCGAUUGAAUGAGCCGAUGUCGGAUUAGCUAGUUGGCGGGGUAAAGGCCCACCAAGGCGACGAUCCGUAGCUGGUCUGAGAGGAUGAUCAGCCACACUGGAACUGAGACACGGUCCAGACUCCUACGGGAGGCAGCAGUGGGGAAUAUUGGACAAUGGGCGCAAGCCUGAUCCAGCCAUACCGCGUGGGUGAAGAAGGCCUUCGGGUUGUAAAGCCCUUUUGUUGGGAAAGAAAAGCAGCAGGUUAAUACCCCGCUGUCCUGACGGUACCCAAAGAAUAAGCACCGGCUAACUUCGUG
rnacentral:rRNA from 1 species